UACGUAGGGUCCGAGCGUUGUCCGGAAUUACUGGGCGUAAAGAGCUCGUAGGUGGUUUGUCGCGUUGUUCGUGAAAACUCACAGCUUAACUGUGGGCGUGCGGGCGAUACGGGCAGACUUGAGUACUGCAGGGGAGACUGGAAUUCCUGGUGUAGCGGUAGAAUGCGCAGAUAUCAGGAGGAACACCGGUGGCGAAGGCGGGUCUCUGGGCAGUAACUGACGCUGAGGAGCGAAAGCGUGGGGAGCGAACAGG
rnacentral:rRNA from 1 species